CUUGUGAAGAGAGAAGACAGCAGUUCAUGAACCAGGAAGCAGGUUUCCACCAGAUACCAAAUCUGCCGGUGCCUAAAUCUUGGACUUGCCAAUCUCCAGGACUAUGAGGCCACCAAGACACAGAGAGAUAAAGUUGGCACAGCUGAGAAGUGACAGAACUGUGAUUCACACUGGCACUCUGGCCAUAGAACCCACACUGUUUACCUGGAUGUGUUUAGAAUCAUGGUGAGAAAAACUGAUAUUUCAAGCAGAAGAGGACUUGCAUGAUGUUGGCUGAACAGGAACAUAGCCAGGAAAGGUGCUCUUUAUCACGCCAUAAUGCUCACAACCCGCACUCAGUACUCACGCCGCUCUUCAAGAGUGGGGAGUCCCCCAGCCCCACAGAAUAUAAAGGAUGGGUUAAAGGGGGUAAUUCCUGCCUAGGGUGUUCCAUGAGCCAGGGAAACAAGAACAUUCAUAUUUAGUUUUUAAAGGUCUUUAUGACAAAGUAAAGUAGGGUCAAAUGAGCACUGUAAAGGAGCUUCAUUCUCACGCAGGCUGUCUACAAGCUCCCUUCUAGCUCCCUGUUCUCACACCCAGUGAGCCAGAUCCCUUCUGCUAAACCAGCAGCACAGCUCAGGGGAGACUGCUCAGAAGGGAAAGUGAAGGGAAAUGCAACACCAGUUCUAACACUGCUGAAUUUUGCUGACUAGCGUCGGGUGGUUUUGACCUUGUAAAUAAAGGCAAAGUGGUUUAAACAUCGAAAUGUCUCAUAUUUAAAAAAUCUGUGGAAAUUAUAACAAUGA